rnacentral:lncRNA from 1 species
UUCAGCAUUACAGUUCCUUUCUUGGGCGGACAAAGAUCAAAGGACUUAUCUAUUGCCUGUUGUACAGAAUGCUCUGAAACUCCAAUGCUCAAAAAAUUAUUGGGACCCUCUUCUAGGGAAACCUGGUCUUUAGUAUCAGCUAUGGCAGGUGGCACUGACUCCUGCAUGUGUCCAACUUUUAACUUGCCAGAGAAAUUAAGUUUUGAAGUUGCAUCAUCUUCUUCUUUCUUUUCUGGAGUUUCUCCAAUCUGAAUUCCAAUCUCAUCCAGAUGCAUGUUCUUAGAAUCAGAAUGACCAGAAAAUGAGUGAAUGACAUCUCCACUGACCGAAUCUGAAACCACAAUGCACUCAGGUUGUUUCAUACAACUGACACCAGCCUUCUUGGGCGGACAAAGAUCAAAGGACUUAUCUAUUGCCUGUUGUACAGAAUGCUCUGAAACUCCAAUGCUCAAAAAAUUAUUGGGACCCUCUUCUAGGGAAACCUGGUCUUUAGUAUCAGCUAUGGCAGGUGGCACUGACUCCUGCAUGUGUCCAACUUUUAACUUGCCAGAGAAAUUAAGUUUUGAAGUUGCAUCAUCUUCUUCUUUCUUUUCUGGAGUUUCUCCAAUCUGAAUUCCAAUCUCAUCCAGAUGCAUGUUCUUAGAAUCAGAAUGACCAGAAAAUGAGUGAAUGACAUCUCCACUCUUCGAAUCUGAAGCCACAAUGCACUCAGGUUGUUUCAUACAACUGACACCAGCUUCCAGAGAGUUUGGACUAACAUCAGGUAACUGUGUCUUCGAAUCUGAAGCCACAAUGCACUCAGGUUGUUUCAUACUACUGCCAUCAGCCCCUAAAGAAUUUGGAAUAACAACAGGUAAAUGUGUCGUCAGCCGGUACACAGAAUUGGAGGUAGGUUUAUCAUUGAAAUGGUUUGAACAACUAAAUGGGAAUGUAUGAUGAGAACAUUUGCCUCUACCCUGAGAGGUUCUAUCCUUAGUCCUAAAACAAUCAUGGGCGAGAGGCUUGCUUGCUCCAAC